rnacentral:lncRNA from 1 species
CAUUUUUAGCUCACCUGGCCCAAAGGGCCAAGUGAGCUUUUCUCAUCACUUGGCAUCCGGUGUCCGGCGUCGUCCGUCGUCGUCCUGCGUUAACUUUUACAAAAAUCUUCUCCUCUGAAACUACUGGGCCAAAUUUAACCAAACUUGGCCACAAUCAUCAUUGGGGUAUCUAGUUUAAAAAAUGUGUCCGGUGACCCGGCCAACCAACCAAGAUGGCCGCCAUGGCUAAAAAUAGAACAAAGGGG